UUUCCUGUUACCACCCAAAGAAUCAGUCAUUUUGCUACUGUCCAAGUCAGUGAGCAGUGGGGGAAGAAACAGCUGGUGGGCUUUUUUAGCAGAGCUGCUGCGGUAUCUGGGGAUGAGUGGACUUGAGUCAAAGUAUUCACCACUUUUUGUCACAGCUGCUUCCUCCUCCUCCCGACUUCUCCCCCUGUCACUGUUCCCAGCAGUAGGGGCCACCACCCUGACAUUCACUGAAAGGCCACCGGGGCCAGUCUCAAUCAAGCCAUCACCGGCUGCAGGACAUGCAUGAGCCAAGAAUGGGGGAACGAACUUACUAAGGCUCCUUCUGGCCAGGUAGUGACGGGCAUGCGACUCCUCUCUCAAUACCGGCCGCCUAUCCCCUGUCUCUGCCGCCGCCGGCUCUUCCUCUUCCGAGUCCGAAUACUUGUCCCUCCUACUGGCGCCGCUGUAGGAAACGAACCUGUUCCCGUUCACUGCCCGGUUCUUACAGCGUUCCUGCUGCGGCUCUUCUUCGGCCUCCUCCUCCUCCUCCUCCUCGUCGUUCUCUUCACCACCGUCCCCGAACUCUCUUCCUCCCUCAGUCUGCUCCUCAGUCCCAGCCGCGACCGUCGCCCGUCUAGCAGUUGCUCCCCACCAGGCAUUGGGCUUCCUCCGAGCCGGCACCUCCACCAAGGUGCUGUUAUUGAGGCAGGAAGCGUCCAAAACGGCUGCAGGCCUCGCGUCCCGGCGUGAGGCUGAACCCCGUUCCCUCCGGUUGCCAGCGGCGCCAGCCUGACCCCUGGGACUGGCCUCCACAUCCGAUUCGUCAGAGCUAAAGCCUAGUAGGACUUUGCCGCCGCCGCCGCCGCCGCCACUGAGGGGAGCUCCGCGAACCCGUCCGCUCCCGCCGCCAGCCGCCCCAGACAGGGAGGAAAGGUCGGCGUUGGCCAGCCUAGUCCCGCCGCCGCCGCCUGCCCCCGGGUUAUUGUUGUUACUGUUCCGGGUCUUGUUGGCGGCGCGGGCCCCGCCAACCCGUUCUUCCUCUCGGAGCUUCUUGAGCUUCUUCAGGUAGACUGGUCGGGUGCUCUCCGUCACCGGUCCCGGGGAGAAGCCGAGUCGCCUCAGCUCGGAGAAAAGCUCCUCAUCAGUGAGCUGCGCGGCGGCGGCGGCGGCGGCGGCGGCGGCCGCCAUUUUCCUCCCUCAACAGCUGCCGCGGCCGCUUCCUACCCACGCACCGAGCUCCGGUCCCCGCCCAGGGGUUACAGUCUUAUUUGAUUCUCUGACGAGAGUUCCGGUUCCCUGAUUGCAGUUGGUCGAAUCCUCCCAUGUGCGUGCCCAACAUUAUAUUUGUAUAAUCAGUGUGGACGUCAACCAAUGAACUCUCACUGGGCCUUUUAGUUUCACCCUCGUAUAAAAGCAUUGCUACAAGUUCUGAUGGACUGCAAAAGCAAACAUGGAUCCUGGGAGCGAAAUCCUGUGCAUCCUUAAAAGAUAUUUCUGGGAAGCAGAUGCCAGCAUGAAUUGAUUGAGACAGCAGACCCUACUUGAGGGACCAGCUCUAUUGGCUCUUCCUCUCCUUGUACUGUUUCUAUUAAAGCUUGUCAUUGUAAGUGCAUUGUAACUUUAAGAACCAGUGCCUGAGUUUGCUUGUUUAUGUCUUCCUAUUUCCUUUUUUGCCAAGUUUUUAUAUUGUUAGUCUGUAGGCAUGGAGAGACUUUCUUACUUGUUAUUGUAUUUAUUGAGCUAAUGCAUACACAAAAUCUGUUCUUGCUGGGCCCCUCCUAGGCAGAGUAUGCCCCCUUUCAUCACUAUUCAGUUUUGAUUUGAUGCCAGCGUCCCCAUCUGUGCAGGACAAGAGGAAAGGAGAUUGUAUACUUCUUCAAGAGCAAGCAAGUGGCUUAUCUACAUGCAUCCCUAGAAAUAUAUUUCUAAUGUUCUUUGUAACAUCACAUGAAAGCAUUUAAAUCCAUUAAAAAACGAUUGUGAUUUGAUUGUCGUUUGGGGCAGAUCCCUGUAAAAUAAUAAUCAAUCUGUGCCUGAAACCCAUGUUUUCCCAGCACAGGAUAUGACAGAUCUGUGAUUAUUAACAGUUAAGCCCAUUGAAACAUGUGAUCCGUGGUUUGUUGGGAAUGUAGUGUAUUGUAUUGUAUUUGUAUUUAUUAAAUUGCAGGGCCGAAGGCCAUCAGCAUUAAAAAUAAAACAGGAGACAUACAAAAAAUA